AUCCAUAUGACGGGUUCCAAAUAGGACGAAAUGCGCAUCCUGGAU
rnacentral:hammerhead_ribozyme from 1 species